AUUUUAAUAACGAACAUUGCCUCAAUGUAGCUUUAUAGUUUAUUUUAUUUUUUUUUAUUUAAGUUUUUUAAAUUUAAAAUUAAGUUCAUAUUUAUCUCAGGUAUAAGUCUGAGGUGACAGUGGUGAGGAAAACCUCCCUGAGAUGAUACGAGGAAGAAACCUUGAGAGGAACCAGACACAGAAGGGAACCUCAUCCUCAUUUAGAGACACUGGACAGAAAUAAGGAGGUGAGAAUUAUAUGCAGGGUCACAGGAGACACUCUGCAGAAAUGAGAAAGCAGCAGGACAUCCAUCUUCACUGGAGUGUGUUGAUCUGGGAUGGUUGUAAUGUACAGGAUGUAAUGCUGUUCUGAGACCUGGGACACUCAGGGGAACGUCACUGAAGUGUUCAUGUGAUACAUGUGACUGAAAAUAUCUUCACUCUUCACCUGGAAGUGUGUGACCUGGAAAUCAAUCCGAUUCCUCCGUCAUUAAGGACGUAUCGAUUCUUCCAGUGUGCUUUGAAGAAUCGGAGAGUGUGUAAAGAAGAAGCUUUCAGAGAGAAGAAUCACAGAUACGUCCUAAUGCACAACCGUUUCCUUUAAUGUAGUGUCUGAAGGCCAGGAUAGAAAUCCUAGACACUCUUUAUAUUUCAAUCCAUGUUGAUAAAAUUAACAAAAGGUGUCUUCGGAGGUCUCUGUGGGAACUGGUGUCUUUGAGGAGCAUCACUCAUGUCUCUGAGGAGGAACCUGUAGCCAAGCAAUAUGUGGCUGAAGAACAUCUGAAGGAACAGGUGUCCUUGAGGCAGGUCUCUGAACGACAUGUCUCUGAGGUACCUAUUUGAAGGCCCUGUCUCAGAGGAAUGUGUGUCUGUGGAAUGUGGGUCUGUGGAAUGUGGGUCUGUGGAAAAUACGUCUAAGGAAGGGCGGUGUGAGGAAUACAUGUCUGAGCAAAAGGUAUCAAAUGGAACAUGUUUCUGGGAAAUUGGAGCAUGUCUUUGAGGAACAGCUUUCUGAGGAAUAUCAGACUGAAGAAAAGAUCGCUGAGGAAUGGGUGUCUGAAGAACAUGUGUUUGAGGAGCAUCAGACAGGAAUAUUUGUCUGGGAAUAUUCUUCAGUCAUAUGUCUGAAGAACCUAUAUCUGAAGAGCGUGUCUGUGGAACUUGUCUAAGGAAGAGGAUGUCUGAGGGUCAUGUAUCUGAAUAUCAUGUUUGAGGAACAUGUGUCUGAAGAACAUUUCAGAAGAGCAUGUGUCUGAGUAACAUGUCUGAAGAUCAUGUAAGACUCGUGUAUCUGAGGAACAUUGGUCAAAGAAACAUCUCUGGGAAAUAUAUCAGAGGAACAUUUGUUUGAGUAUCAUGUCAGAGGAACACAUGUCUGAAGAAGGUGUCAGAGGAACAUGCGCUUGUGCAUCUUUGAGGAAAAUGCUUAAAAAAUGAUAGCUCAAGAAACCUAACAUUUCUCAUACUCAAAAAAACAUAUUUCUAAAGAACAUCACUUCCUCUCUUCAGGAACAGAGCAGGUGUCUCAGAGUAACAUACUUUCCAUUCAGGUGGCCACUUUUGGUCUUUUUCAAAUCUGUUUCUAUAACAACCAUGAGGGCCAUAAAAAAAGAUGUAGAUGAAUGAGUCAGUGUGUGUGUGUGUGUGUGUGUGUGUGUGUGUGUGUGUGUGUGUGUGUGUGUGUGCCAGGUGCAUGCUGUAAUAAGUUUUUAUAGGAAGCUGAUCCCUGGUUGUUUGAAUUUGAAGACAAUUUCACUGCAUUGCUUCAUGUUGUAAUAUGCGUGCUGGUGAUGAUUAGAGAGAAAUAUGAUUCAGAUAUGAUUCAGACGGCUCUCUUGGGGGAGCAUCAGCUGUAAUUAUCCACAACAAUCCUCUGUAUCCUGAUGGGGUUUGGAGGCAGAUCCAGAGGACUGAACUUCGCCGACUUAUUUGCAUCCACUCACACAGACGCUCUGCCCACGCAGGUUUUAACAGCGAGAUGUUCUGAGCAGUAACACGAGAGAGCGCACUCUCAGACCUCGUCUUAAUGCACGAUGACUCACCGCCACUUUCACGGCGUCCUGCUUGGCUCGCACUUCAGCAGCCAAAAUCACUGAGCUGUUUCUACAGUCCCUGCAUGUCAGACAGAACCACUCCAGUCCUGAGAAAAGUGUAACGCUUCACUGAGCACACAGGGGAUUGGACCAGGUUUACAGAACAACCUGAGGGAUGGAGGAAGAGUGUGUGGGUUUUGGGAUGGAUGAGAUUUUACAGCUAGUGAAGAAAUAAUGGAAAUAACUAAGUAACUAAGUAACUAACUAACUAACUAACUAACAAAAGAAAGAAAGAAAGAAAGAAAGAAAGAAAGAAAGAAAGAAAGAACAUCUCAAAGCUCUCAAAACCACAAAAAAGCUAAUAAAUCAAAAAGAUAAAAUAAACAAAUGUAAAUGAAAUCUACAAAAAAUAAUCAGGUUGCAUCUGAAAUCUAAAUAUUCAAAAUUCAAACGUAAAAGGGAAAAGAUUUCAAAAUGUACUUUUUUUAAUAAAGAAGACACCGACAACCCUACAUUCUAAUAACUGCACAUGAAAUCAAAUCAAAUUAAACGGAAAAGACAAAGAUUGUUCCGAAAUUAAUUGUUGUUCUUUUUCUGAAAUGAGAAAUCAGUCAAUAAAACUAACAUGAAGACUACAAACAAGCAAAGAAAAACUGAAGAAAGUAAAUUAAAAUAAAAAGUAAGAAUGCCUUUCUAUUUUUCAAAGGUAAAAGCACCAGGGGUCAUUACUUGUUGAUAUAAACAUGAAAACAAAUACAAAAAAAAUAAACUAACAAACAAUAAAUAAAUAAAGAAGACGAAAACUAAAACUAAAAAAAAACAGAAAGACUCUUGAAUUUAAAAAAAAUUCUGAGUCAUACGUUAUUGACACUAAGGCGAAAACCACAAACAUACAAGUAACCAAAAACAACAACAAAGUCUGCCAUGGAAACAAAACUAAUCAGGCUAAAUGAACAAUAAAGAAAAAAAGACAAGUGAAAUGAUAAAAUCAUUUCAAAAAUAUAAAGACUUGGUCAUUAUUUCUUGAAACUUACAAAAAAAAAAAACAAUAAUAACAAUAAUAAGUUAAUAAAAAUAAUAAUAAUAAUAAGAUAAUACAAUAUUAAUCUUCGAUCAAUUUUAACCUUGUUGUUCUUAUUAAGCCUCGUUUUUGAUCCUCUUCAGCAUGUUGGUCUGCGAUUGCUUUUCAAUGAACAAUGGUGUGGAAUGGAAUCAGUUGAACUGGUUACCCCCCCCCCCACACACACACACACCCCACCCCCACCCCCAAGACAGUUUAUUGAAGUUUAAUAUAGAAUCAUCAUCCACAGAACUUUUAAUUCAACACUGAUGAAGCUAAUGUUGCUAAGAAGUCCAUGUUUUCUAUAAACAUCUGCCUUAAGCCACAUCCAGUUCUUUAGUAAUGGUAGUGAACGUUUGGUGGCUGCCAUCUUAGACAAAAAGAAACUUUCCUGGCUAAAUUGCAUACCCAAGGGCCCGUGUGGCUGCACGCUAAUGUGAUGUUUAAUGUGCUUGUGUUUUUUGUUUUUAAUGUAGCAAAGCAUGUAUUUAUUCUGGUAUGUUGUGUUGUUUGUGGGACUUGGUAGCUUAGUGGUUAAGGUGUUGGACUACUGAUUGGAAGGUUGUGAGUUAAAAUCCCACCAAGCUGUCACUCCUUGGACACUGAGCAAGGCCCUUAACCCUCAAUUGCUCAGUUGUAUAAAUGAGAUAAACGUAAGUCGCGCUGGAUAAGAGUGUCUGCCAAAUGCCGUAAAUGUUUGUCAGUGUUUGUGGAUUUUUAGCUCUUCUCUAAUUGUAGCAGAAAAAAAAGACAGUAAACACUGUCUGAAUCCAUGUGUUAUGUAUAAAACUGUUUUUUUUUUUUUUUUUUUUACUAUUUACAGUUUAAUUAGUUCAACUUUUUGUUUGGUUUGUUUGAUCAUUAGGAUAAUUAAAAAAAUAUAUUUUAAAAUAAAAAUGUUUAUUUCCUGAUCACCGUUGCUUAAACAGAGUUUUGGCUCCACCUUGUGGUCAAGCUGCGCAGUUACACUAUUUUCUGUGAGGUUACAGCGACGCGUCAGAGUGACCGGGACUGAUAAAUAAUCCUUGUAGUUACAACGAAAUAUACUUUUCAAACAAAUAAAACAUUCAUGUGAUACUUGUUUUCUUAUAAAUGAAUUCAAGUCUGUACGUAUAGACUAUAACUAGAAAGGCAAAAUGAUCACCCAUUCUUACAGAAUGGAUUAAUCCGUUUCCAUGGAAUCACGCAGGACCUUUUUGGAAGAUCUAAUCAGAAUCGAGCAGAGAGAAGCAGGAAGUAAACACAGUCCUUAGUUCUAUCUUGUUUUUCUGUGAUAUGACGAUAAAUUAGAAUGAUGAUAUACUUUAAUAAGGAAAUCUAAAAUAUUAAGCUGCAUAUCUUGUUUUAUACUUAGAAAUAUAUACAUUUGUAGUUUCUGAAUUUAUAUAUCUAUAUAUUUCUGUAAAGCUGCUUUGUGACAAUGUUCAUUGUUAAAAGUGCUAUACAAAUGAAAUGUAAAUUAAAAUGUAUUUUCAUAUUAAAUAUCAUGUGAAAUGUCCAUGAAACACUUAAGGACUGAAUAUAUACCAGGUGCAGUAUGGUGUGUAAAUAGUGUAUAAAGUGGCACAUUGCUGUGCAAGUCCUCAAACCUGAAAGGUUUUUUGGUUUGUGUCUCUUUCUGAACCUUAAAACAGAGUAUUUCAUCAUCUCAGAUGGUUCCAAGUUUGCAGCUCAGAACCCUAAACCCAUCAUAUCGAACAGUGUAGAUAAACAUUUCCACCUGCAGAAGGAGUAAAACAUUGCAGAAGAUCAAACCUGACAAGAGAUUUGCUGCCACCUAGUGGACUAAAUAUGUAAUGCACACUCACUUUGGCGCAAUGAAGCUGUGGAGACUGUUAAAUCUUUUCUUCAUACAACUUGAACUUACUGUCAUGUUUUGGGAAGUGAGAGGAAGCCACUGAAAUACUAACUGAAGUAGCACAAAAUGGUCAA